CUUUGCGCUCCACAACAGAGUCCUAGAAAGCGAUUCUGUAUAUCCCCAAAAAGCCCUCCGAGUCUCUUCAAAUUUUCAGUUCCUACCCUCAAUGCUCCGCUGCUCAUCCGACACUACUUCUCUCCCCCUAGUUUCCUUGUCUCUCACUCUCCCAGCAACCAGGAAUUGGUGGAGCCGGUGACGCCAGACUACGACGAGGAGAGAGUCGGGCAAUGUUGACGGGUCAUGGCGAUUUAACUUCGAAGGUUUCCAGGUGUCCUCAAAGAGCACAGGGAGAAAAGACUUCCCCGUGGCCUCCAUGACUGCCUGGGGAGUUUUAGGAAGAGCAGGAAAAGUUGGCAAAAAGUGAGACACGUGCCAUCAGAAUAUCAAAUAUGGUUCUUUUUGCAGCUAAAGUUCAUGCAUCUCUCAGAAGUGGUUCUUUAGCCAUCAUCACAUCCAUGUUGGAGUCAUUGCUCGAUCUUUUGUCUGGCUUCAUCCUGUGGUUUACUGCAUUCUCCAUGCAAACCCCUAACCCAUAUGAGUACCCUAUUGAGAAGAAACGUACGCACCCCUUGUCACUGAAGGGAUUGUCUGAAGAGAUUGUUGAGACUGCAGAGACGGAGUCAGGAUUCACUAUGUUUCCAAUGCCCAUGGGCUUGAAAGGGAGAUUCGUUUGUAACCCAGCACUGAAUUUCCUGAGCUGCGGUUUUCCAAGCCUGGAAAAAGAUGGUUGAGUUGAGACAGCAAAUUUCCGGCAGAGAAACAGUUCAAGAAGUUGAGCUGGUGCAGGGAAGAGGACACCCUAGCCAGAAGAGUUGGGUACUUAGAUUGAGAGGAAUUGAAACGGUGGACGAGGCUAGGCAGCUUAUUGGCUUCAACCUUUACUUGUGAGGGAAGAGUUGGAGGAAGGCCGAAUUCUUUAGCCGUGAUCUUGUCGGGUUGACAGUAAUUCUUAAGGUUUGUGUUGGUAAUGUGUUGUAUUUUUUAUAAAAAGAAAUGGCUUUGUGCAUGAGCAUGUGUGUGAUCCUUACGUUUAAUUUCGUUUGUAUCCCUGAGAUCCACCAGAACAUUGGUAUCAUAAUAUCAUGUUCAUGGGCUUCAAGGGGAUAUUCAAACUUUCUCUAUGGUUAAUAAAAGCCCGUUCAUUUUAUCGUUUAGAGAAAGCGUCAUGUUAUUUUAUCUUGCCAUGCAUCAACGAAGAAGAAGUGAAAUAUUGAAUGACUUUGGACAUCUAGUCUAUAAUAGAUUCAUCAGUACAGCCAAAGCUUUUCAAUCUUGUAUUAUUGAAUGACCAAUUAUUCAGUUACGUUGCAUGUAGGAUGUAUUUCAUAAUCUCGUAAAAUUCUGAUUCCAUGGCCUAAGAGUGUUCCUAUAUGAUCUAUUGCCUUUGCUGAAUACCACCAGUUCAUUUUCUAGUGUGGUGUUACCCUUGCUUUAGUGCUACUGGCUAUUAACACGGUUUUGCAGAAAACUGAUUUCUGUCUUUAACAUCUCGUGUAAACACGGUUUUGGAGAUACUUGUUUGCUAAUGUGGAUCCUAUCUAAGACUAUGCACACCACAACAGAGUCCUCUGAGAAAUUCUGUAUAUCCCCAAAAAGCCCUCCGAUUCUCUUCAAAUUUUCAGUUCCUACCCUCAAUGCUCCGUUGCUCAUCCGACACUACUUCUCUGCCCCUAGUUUCCUUGUCUCUCACUCUCCCAGCAACUAGGAAUUGGUAGAGCCGGUGACGCCCGACUACGACGAGGAUUGAGUCGAGCAAUGUUGACGGGUCAUGGCGGUUGAACUUCGACGGUUUCCCAGGUGUCCUCUGAGAGCACAAGGAGAAAAGACGUCCCCGUGGCCUCCAUGACUGCCUGGGGGUUUAGUCACUGAAGAGAUUGUCUGAAGAGAUUGUUGAGACUACAGGGACGGAGUCAGGAUUCACUAUGUUUCCAAUGUCCAUGGGCUUGAAGGGGAGAUUCGUGUGUAACCCAGCACUGAAAUUCCUGAACUGCGGUUUUCCAAGCCUGGAAAAAGAUGGUUGAGUUGAGACAGCAAAUUUCCGGCAGAGAAACAGUUCAAGAAGUUGAGCUGGUGCAGGGAAGAGGACACCCUGGCCAGAAGAGUUGGAUACUUAGAUUGAGAGGAAUUGAAACAGUGGACGAGGCUGGGCAGCUUAUUGGCUUCAACCUUUGCUUGUGAGGGAAGAGUUGGAGGAAGGCCGAAUUCUUUAGUCGGGAUGAUAGUAAUUCUUAAGGUUUGUGUUGGUAAUGUGUUUUAAAAAGAAAUGGCUUUGUGCAUGAGCAUGUGUGUGAUCCUUACGUCUAAUUUCAUUUGUAUCCCUGAGAUCCGCUAGAUAAACAUUGGUAUCAUAAUAUCAUGUCCAUGGGCUUCAAGGGGAGAUUGAAACUUUCUCUGUGGUUAAUAAAAUCUCGUUCAUUUUAUCAUUUA